rnacentral:misc_RNA from 1 species
CUGCUCCUCAUCGCCGACGUGAGGUCUAAUAGUAGCGUCGAAGAGCUGGCAAGAGCUGUAAUAGAAAAGAAGGGUGUUCCAGAUAUCAUAGUGAACAAUGCGGGUACCAUUAACAGAAACAACAAGAUAUGGGAAGUUCCAGAGGAAGAGUUUGACGCUGUAAUUGAUACGAAUGUGAAAGGAAUAGCUAAUGUUUUGCGUCACUUCAUCCCUCUAAUGUUACCCAAGAAGCAAGGAAUUAUUGUUAACUUCUCUUCUGGAUGGGGAAGAUCCGGUGCUGCCCUGGUUGCGCCUUAUUGUGCAUCUAAAUGGGCUGUUGAGGGUUUGACCAGAUCAGUUGCAAAAGAGUUGCCUGAUGGGAUGGCAGUUAUUGCACUUAAUCCGGGAGUGAUACACACUGAAAUGCUCCAGUCAUGCUUUGGCACUUCAGCUUCAAUUUACCAGGAACCCGAUGCAUGGGCCCCAAAGGCAGCUACAAUGAUACUCAAUCUAACUGGGGCUGAUAAUGGUGCAUCUCUAACUGUGUGAUGAAGGUUUCCAAGGCUGUAAUGAUGCUCAAACAGAAGCAGAUGGUAGCACAUCUUGUGAGAAGAGUUCUUCAUCAGCUGUCAGGCAUUUAUUCAUUGUGAUGGUAUCACACCUUUCAAACAAAAAUUCUUCCUCUGUGGCCCUGUCAAUACUAGAAUUGGAUUACAAUGAACUCCAUAGUUUUACUUUAAACAGUUCUUUAGGUAGAUGAGGAACUUACUAUGUUCAUUGUCUAUAUGCACUAUUAAUUGAGGCCAAAGAAUGUAGCAAGUCUUAUUAUUGUGAUGUAUGGACCAAGGUAAUUUCAUGAUCAAAAGCUCCUGGGAGAAUUUCCCUUGGUCCAUACAUCACAAUAAUAAGAC